AAAACAGAAAUGUCUCAAAAAUAGAAAACUGGACCUGUAAUUUUAACUGCCAAAGAUUGGAUAAAUUCUUGAGCAUGCAAGCUACAUCAUGAUACAAAGCUUAAAUGAAUUUUUGUGCCGAACAUGAAAAGUUGAAGAUCUUGGUCUCCCAUUUCCAUAAAGUCCAAGAACUCUCAAUUCCCAUGAAAUGGUGUUGGCAAAUAUGAAAUUCAUUUUCAAAAAUUCUUGAAACUUCAAAAGGCCAUAUCUUCAAAUUUUGGCUUCAAUUUUGGUGAGGUUGUUUUCAACUAAGUCAUAUUUUAACCUCUCUUUCCCAAAAAUGUAAAUUUCAUGCAUCAAACUAUGGAUCAAAUGCAGCUUUUUUACCUAUAUUUAAAUUUAAGUAAGGGUGAAAGUGACUUUUUGAUUUAAGCAUUUCCAACCAAUUGUGCCAUCCAAAUAUGUUCAGAUACAUUAUUUAUGACUUGUUGCAAGCCCAAAUUCGUGGCCUUUGCUUAUGCACCAUCCCAUAUGGACAAAUUUGGCAACUUAGCAAUUUGGCUCAUUAAAGCAAAACAUGUUUAGCAUACACUAAUCCAAGCUUAAACAGAAGUAUAUUAACAUUUUUCUGGUCAGUAUGCAACCCUAGCAGCCACAGAAAGAAGAGAUUUCUCUCACUCUCUCAAAACUUCAUCUUUGGCCAUCUUCAAAAUCUGUCAAAAAAAACUCAAAGAAAUCGACAUUGCCUUGCCUAAAACAACAUCCAUACACCAUUGUGAGCUUGUUUCCACCAUCAUUCCACAACUGUAAGCUCAUUUGCCCGACUUUUUUCCAAGGCAUCAUCAAUGGCAAAGUGUGGUUGAAGUCAUUUCAAGCUGUUUCAAGCCCAACCAUCUUCACCAACCAUCAUUUGGAGGUCCAUAGAGUGACUGUUUCAAGCUUGCAACACCAAACAACAACUGUUCAAUUCAUUUCUUCAAAAAACAAGUAAGAACACGAAUCCCUAAUUUCUCAAAAUCAUGAUAUGCAAUGUGUAGACUUUGUUACCCUGGUCAUGCAUGGCUUCGACCAUCAUAAUGAAUUGAAAUUUGAGAGAAUCUGGAUUUUAAAUUCAUGUACAAACUUGUUCUUGGCUAUCGCUCUGCGUUUUGUUUUGAUUCAAUGUUAAUGGCUGCUUGGAACUAUGAUGCAUGUGCUAUGCUGUUUCUAGAAUGCAUGAUGUUAAUUUCUGGGCACUUUUUGUUUCACGGAUUUAGAAGAUGAAGUUGUUGACUGUACAUGUCAAACCCUAUUUCCAUGGCCAUUCCCCUGUUCACGUAAUGCAUGGGUACUGACAGCCCAUGACAGCCAAUGAAACAUUUCCCUCCCCGUGUCCAAAACGACUGUGUUUCGGUUAAGUGGCUGGAUAUUUACAAAUGAAUGCCAUGUGCGUGCACAUGACUUAUUACGAUUAUGUUGUAUUUCCAUUUUUAAUUUCAUGUUUGAUCACAAACUUGUAAAAAUCAUAUGCUCCAUCAUUAAGGUCUCAAAAUCAUGGGCAUUUGCAUUCUCUCAUCAUGAUCUCUACUUAUUUGUCAUAGUUUUCCACAAUUUUGUGAUCACUUGGAUUUUAUUUGGCAUAUUGGUUUUAACAUGUAUCCAUUUCUUGCACAUUCCACCAAAACCUUUGUGAAAUAGUCAUGAUUAUUCCUAUGGACUUGAAACUUUUUGAACACAACUAGACACAUUCAUGUUUAUUUUGAUGUAAAUUUGUGAAUUUAUCUUAUCUGGAUUUGAGUUGUGAAUUUUUGAAGUUAGGGUAGUGCUGACAAUUUGUGUCACCCAGAUGUGUAACUUUUGAUGAUUUUUGAUACCAUGUUACGUGACCUCCAAUGUCUGAAUUUUUGCGAUGAACCUACUCUUAAUGUCUAUGUUCACGAUGGGGAUUUUUCUUGGAUUAUUUGUGCCAUUUUUCCAUUGUUUUGAGAUUUCUCCCCUGUCUUGACCAAAAUGUGGACCUUAUGUGAUCGCGUCUAGUGCCCAUGUUGUUGUUGUGAAAAUGCUCAUACUUUAUUAGGAUGGACAUGAAAUUUUACAUGAGAUAACAGACAUCUAAGCUUUUUCAUGGUUUUAGUUCCCAUUCAUUUAUCUUUAUGUUACCGCAUUCCUGAUUUAUUGAUUUUUCUAAGUUGAUGCAUGUUUGUUGACUUCUUUGAGCAUGUUUCAAAAUUGCUUUGGACUUUUGAUUUUCAUUGACUGCUUGUUUCCACGUGGCGAAAUUUAGAUGAAAUUGACAUUGCUACCAUGCAUGUGUUAUAAUGAUCAUGAUUUAUUGGUGAUUUUUGGAAAUGUUUGAGUUUGCUUUGAUGCAAUCUCUUGCUGUGUGACUUCGUAUGAGCUUCUAAAUGCAUGCCUUUGACUUCUAUUGUUCAUUAAAUGUGAUGUGAUGAUGGAUAUGAAUUGAAUACCAAUUGGCGAUGUUGCUUAAUUGUUUACUAUUUGGAUGCUUUCCCUUUGCUGUUUUGACUUUUCAUUCCUUUUGACCCUAGGCUUGCCCUAGUGCGUCCUGUUACUCACCUUUGCAGCCUCAUGUUUUCAGGUUGACCAACAAUGACCAUGAGACCAAUUCGUUGGUUUGAGUCUUGCUUGAAUAUCAUUGAUUAACAUGUUGUGUUUUGUAGGUGCUUGGCUCACAUGCCUUAAGCCUGUGCUGCCUGCACAUUUUCAUUUGCCUUUGAUAACUGUGAUGUCUGUUUCUUUUUGCCUUUGUCUGAGUUGCUCUAUACUAAUGUGGUUUGACUAUUUCAGGUGCUUAUUAGUUGCUCAGUUCCUGUUGUGAACUUUUGCUUUGCCUUUGCCUUGUAUAAUGCAAUUUGCAUGAGGUAUAUUUCUCAUCUUCAUGUAGUCUGGAAGGACCUGCGCUGUACUUGCCAGGCCACUGUCAUAGAGUCCUCCUUAAGAGCAAUGUUUGUGUAUUUGUUUAAUCUUGUCCUUAGCAUAGUCAAGACCUGCAGUAAGUGAAGAGGGGCAUAUGCCGCAGAACCCAAGGGACAUAUGCAACCUAUCCCUCCUGCUAUUUCUGUGUUUCUUCUGUCUUGCUCACACCACUUGUGUGAUGCAUGCAGUACAAACCAAGAUUCUGUACAACCCUUUUACGAGCUUGAGUCAGACAAAUGUGUAGAAAAAAAAAAAAAAAAAAAAAAAAAAAAAAUAAAAAAAAAAAAAAAAAAAAAAAAAAAAAAAAGGGUUCCCCAACUUUCUGAACCCACAAUUCUUGUCAAAUGCUCUCCUGACCAGGGAUAAGACAAUGAGGCACACCCCUCAAUCUCCUUUCAUGCUUCACCUUUAGCCCCUGCAAUGGCAAGGUUAAGAGCAACAUCUCCACCCAAUUCCAGAGGUUUGUUUGUUGAGCGUUGAUAUGACCCCUCGACUAAGACCUAGCCUUGCAUUGUUUGAGCCCCUUGUUUGGUGUGGUUUAUUUUAUGUCUGUUGUGCUGUGAUGGUGCUUGUGUGGAUGUGAUUGUAUCCCCUAGGUUUGUUUAGAUCCGCGUAGUCUCGUUUGCCAUGUCAAUUAAGGUAGACGCGGUUCCUUCGCUAUAGGACUUCCUUCUUUGCUUGAGCUUUCUUAAACACAAAACACAUUUAUUCCCCUCUUAAGAUACGUUAACUCCUUCUACUACAGAUUGAGUAAGUCUCCAAAGGUCGAGCAUCAGGUAGAGCUGUUGCCGUGACGUUGUCCACUUAAAAAACACAAACACCAACAGGAAUAGUUUAGCGAACUACAGGCAAACUCUGUUCUCUAUGUCCAGAUGAAUACGGUAGGCACGAGAUGCCCGAGCUUAGUCUGAGUUUGACUAACAAACUAACACUAAUUCUCUUCUCUCGCCCUCGUUUGCGAUUGAGAACCUCCCCUUUCUGCUUUGCGCCCUACGUUGCAAUCGAGACCCUUGCCUUCCUGUGCAAAGUUAGGUUAGGUGUUCGGCUUGCUUCCUGUGCAAGGUCAUGUUUAGAUAGGCUUGCUUCUUGUGCAAGUUAGGCUAGACCGGAACAAAAUCUUAACUUAGGACGCUUUGCAUGACAACAUCUAGGCUCGAGCGUAGUCUCCCUAGUGUUGUGUCUCCCAUCUGUUAUCUGGUUAGCUAGUCCUUUUUCCCUGCGUAGGGGAACUACAUUCGCCCGAAUCUUCAUACCAGAUGAAGUAUUGGCAGGAGAUAUUGAGCUGAUUCUCCCUCCCAGUGGCGCCCUUUUGUCUUUGCAACCCCUUUGUGUCUUAACCCCUUGCGAGUGUGUUUCUGGUAUCGGAUGCGGAUGUAAGUCCAGUGAUGGCAUCUCGCGGCUCCACGUUCGCCCUUUUUUCUUUUUCCAACCUUUUGGUCUUCAACUCCUUCUGUGUGUGUUGUUGUAUGUUGGAAGCUUAUGUAAGAUGGAUUCCAUCGAGUGGCUUCGGGUUCCAGCGUGGCGUUUGUUUGGUUCGGACCUGCUGAUGUAAGUCCAUGUGAUUGGCAGUCAGGCUCCAGCGUUCCAGCAUCUGAUGAUACCUAUUGAUCUGCCUAGUGUUUUGUUUCGUGUGCGGGUCAAGCCGAGCAAACUACAAUGCUUCUGAUCUUCUUCGCUCCAAGGAAGCUACGUCAGGCAUAGGAUCGACAUCCUAGCGAGCAUGGUCGUUUCCCAGUCCAAACUACCUUCUGACUCUGAUUCAUAUGCGCUGAUAGACUAAGUAGGCCCAGGACGCGAUAUCCUGCCCGAGGUCAUCUUGUCGUGUUUCUUGUGUCUUUCUUUUCACCUGCUGUGAUGUUUAUUUAAGCCAGUAUUGAUUAGCACCAUUUUUCCUUCCUAUUGUGUGCGUGGAUCCUCGGAUGAUACGACGGAUGCGUAGGGGUGCUUAAUACCUUCCCUUCGGCAUAACCGACUCCCGGAACCCAGAUUCUCUUUGGGUCGCGAGACCAUGUUCUUUCCAGGUUUACUCUGAGCGUUUCCUUUCCCUCUUUUGGGAUAAAUAACGCACGGUGGCGGCUCUGUUGUUCUUGUUUUCCCGCCGGUUUUUCGCGUAAUGCGACAAUAGGCACCUCCUUCCUAUCUUCUAAUGCAACCGCAUUAUAUCUGUAGGGAACAACUCUGUCAGAAGAAUAAGGCACAGGGCCAGCUGGCUUGAUAACGAGAGUAGGAGAAUCCUUUUGCUUGCUACCAUCAUAUCUGACGACAACAGGUUUGGGCAUUCUGAACACAAGGGAUAUAACAUUAACUUCAUCCUCAUCACGAUUCUGAAGUAUCUCGAUCACACCCUGAUCCAGCAUUUCUUGGAUGUCUUUCCUGACUUGGCGACAUCCUCUCUCGUUGACAGUGCACAUACGGCAACUGUCAUGGUCAAGCUCAUAAUGACUGUAUCCACAUAACAUUCUAUGCAUCUCGACCAACGAUUGUCUAAUAUGGCUGACAUAUCGGACCUUGUACUUUCCAGGGCAACCCUGAACCAUGUUAACUGCAGCCUUCCCAUGCUCGGGCAAUGGGUUCUUCUUAACAUUAGGACCUACGUCCUCAAAGAACAAAAUACCGCUUCUAACAAGGUCUUGAACCUUGGUCUUGAGAGGAUAACAGUUCUCCACAUCAUGUUCGGGAGCACCGGAAUGAUAAACACAGUGAAGCUCGGGCUUGUACCACCAUUGAGGGUUGGUCGGUACAGCAGGUGGGUCACGUGGAGUGAUCAGCGUCCGUUAAACCAGUGAAGGAUAUAGCUAUGCAUAAGUAAUUGGAAUUGGAUCAAAAGUGACCCUCUUCCUAUCAUAGCUUGUGCUGGUAUUGUUUUUAUUUUGAGGCUGGUAGGCCUGCUGUUGCGGACGAUGCUGUUGUUGUGGAUAUUGUUGAUGUUGCUGUUGCUGGUGCUGAUAAUGUUGAUUUUCCCUGAAGGCAGGUGCUAUAUGAGCCACCUGGUGCUGGUUACUGGCUGGGCGCACAGUCUUCCUCUUCACAAAGGGUUUUCUUUAUUUAAUAUGGGAAGACACGACAUGUGUCUCUCCCUCUUUCUUCUUGGCAAAUUCCCCAUAACGUUUGGCAGAAGAGCCUUCUUCUCUGGUCAGGCGUCCCUCCCUAAAUCCUUCCUCUAAUCGCAUCCCCAUGUUCACCAUCUCGGUGAAGUCAGAGGGAGCACUAGCGAUCAUCCGCUCGUAGUAGAAAGAGCUUAAAGUCUUUAAGAAGAUCUUCGUCAUUUCUUUCUCUUCGAGCGGGGGCACAAUCUGUGCAGCCAAUUCACGCCACCUCUGGGCGUACUCCUUAAAUGUUUCCUUCUCCUUCUGGGACAUAACCCUCAGUUGGUCCCUAUCGGGAGCCAUAUCAACGUUGUACUUGUACUGCUUGACGAAGAUUCGCCAAGGUCGUUGAAGGAGCGAAUAUUCAUACUAUCCAAGCCCAUAUACCAUCUCAUUGUGGCACCGGACAGGCUGUCCUGGAAAUUGUGGAUGAGGAGUUGAUCAUUGUCAGUUUGAGUUGACAUCUUGCAUGCGUACAUCACAAGAUGGUUGAGAGGGAAAGUGUUUCCCUUGUACUUUUCAAAGUCAGGCACUUUGAACUUGAUAGGAAUCUUAACAUUUGGCACGAGGCACAGCUCAGCAGCGGAUUUACCAAAGAGGUAAUUCCCUCUUAGAGUUUUCAGUUCCUUGCGCAACUCAAGGAAUUGAUCAUUCAUAGCAUCCAUUUUCUCGUACACAUCUGGGCCCUCAGAUGGCUCAGAGUGAUAAAUGGUGUCAUCAACUCUCGAUAAAGUAUGCACAGUUGGAGAUGGCACAACAAGGACCGGGCUAGAUGUCGGUAGAGAACCAAAAGUAGGAGCGGGACCCUCUGGAACAAAAUUUGCGGGCAUCCCCCAGGGAAACCCGACUGGCAUAGCAGAUGGAGUGAAAUGAGUACUGGCAGCAGGCAUGGUAGAGGAAGCAACCUCUGAGAUAACUGUCCUCUAGGGAGGAGUUGAAGGCAUUGGAGAAGACUGGCUUUGGGCGGCCAAGAAUGACUCCACCAGGGUAGUCAAUCUUGCCACUUCCUCCUUGAGUUCUCUGUUUUCUUGCUUGAGGUGAUCCAUUAGCUUUGAAGAGUUGGCUCUGGUGUAGUACCGGUGCGUCAGCUUGUCUUCAAAAUAAAUGAAGAACACAGAGUUAGACCACUGGUCAAGAAGCCCUGAACAAAACCUGCUUAUGCACAUGAUGCAUGCAAUGCUUGUGCAUAUGAUUUAUUUUUACUAGAGGACCUUUUAGAGAUCUAUUUGCAAAUAUUUGGAAAUAUUAAUCUUUUAGACAUAUAAUGGAAUAUUCAUAUCAAUAAUAUUUGGAAAAAAAUUUACACCAAAGAAGUACAGUCUUGGUAACCAAAUACAAUACAAGAGAGAAGGAAAAUGAGCAUCCUAUGGAACCCUAGAAACAAACGUCAAAAGCUCUCGAGACCGGAAGAUAAGCUGCACGAAGCCUCUUCACCUCUCUCUCAUAGGCUGCCUCCAUAUCUUCCUUCUCCUUGGCGAGUCGAUCAUACUCCCUCUUCCAAAACUUAGAAGACUGAGGAAGAAGAGAAGUAACCACGUCCUCUGCUCAUCAAUAAUCUGAUGCUCCAAAAAUUCUAUCACAACAUCUUUAUCUCUGAGUGGCUGAAGUAGCUCCUCUCGCUCACGGACCCAAGCACGCGAACGGUCUUCAUCUCUCAACUCCUCUACUCCUUGGUUAGGGAGGGUUGAAGGCCCAAACAUAACCAUAGGUGUAGGUCUCGGGUAGUCAUAGGGCAAGCGGUACUCAGAAGCUCUCUUCCUCACCCACGAGAUGUAGGGUUCCAAAGCAAUAUAGUUCUUCGGACCAAGCUCUUUCCUUCCCUUCCUAUGAAUCUUGCACCAAGCGCGGACCAUCCUGCCCUUCAAGUUUUGGGGAUCUUUACCCUCUUGAAAGAACACACCUUCUAACAAAAUGUUAUUAGGUUUAUCCUUUAAGGGGAACCCAAGCUGACGACGUGCCAAAAUUAGCUUGUAGUUAAUCCCACCACAUGUACCAAGAAGAGCACAUUGGAGAAUUCACCACAAGAGUCAAUAAUCUGAACACCAUCAUUACACACAGUUGCUUACCAAAAAUAUCAUUCAUUAGUAGAGACAUAUAGUCUCCUGUGGACCACCGUUUAGACAGUCCUUUUUUUCCUGAACGUGAGCAGUACGUGUGGCAAGUGCGAAAUAAACCACUUGCUACAACAGACGGCCAAACAACACACAAUGGUUUACCACCACCCUUUGCAUUCCUCAUAUGCAAAGAGAAAUAAGUGUCACCCAACAGAGUAGGCAACGGGAUUAAGAGUAGAUAAAAUCCUCAAUGGCCGUUCACAUCACAACAAAAUUGUCGAGUUGCGGGAAUAACACUUUAGCCCAUAGAUGAGAAGUACAAAUAUGGCCUCAAAGGCGUCCUCACUCAUGCCUUCCCAUAAUAAGUAGCUUGAGCAAUGAGGAAAUCAAAUGGGGAGAACCUUGAUUUCCACCUUUGGUAGUCAUAUGAGCACCGAUUUCAGAUACAUCAUGGUGCCAACAGAUUAACAUCUCUUGGGAGAAGCGAACUCUUCCAAGCCAACUGAACGACAACUGAUCUAAAAUAGGAGUUAUACUUACAAGAUAGACAUACUCCUCAAGCGUAGGCCAAAAGUUGGAAAUUCGGGUGAAAGGGAAGCAACGGCUACACGGCGAUCAUAGAACUGCAUACCAACACACUCAUUCAGACCUCAUCCACCUGAGUAGCAAGAAUAGAUCAGAAGCUUUCCCAUGACGAGCCUUGAACUCCAGAGGGAAUCUAAUACAUAGGAUGUUAAACUCCCUUAACUCUUUCAGUCGGGUUGCUUUGAUGAAAUAUUGUAUUCUUCCUGUAUUCCUUCUUAUUUAUCCAUGUAUGAAAAUUUGCAAAUAGACCCUAAGUUCCUUGAAGAUUUCUCAUUGUUGGAUUAUAUGGAAUGUGUAUGAAUGCAUGAAUGCAUGGAUGCUCCAAUCACACUCAAGCGAUCAAGCAAGUCACACCACACCAAAGCGCUCACGGGGGGAUCAAGUCAUCCUUAAUAUCAAUCAUCCAUUUUGGUGGAUUAUGGUUUACACCUUAUCAACACCCAAGUUCCAUUGAUAUUAAGGAUAUACGAGAACUGAUCAACCGCGAAUCAAGGGUUUGUUGCAAGUCACGAGCAUGGAGUCUCGGUUAAGAACCACCCAAAGGGAGUAUACUAUGGUUAAACCUGACAAUCAUGUUCUACAAGAGGUUCCCAUAUUCAUCAUCCCAUCUUUUGGAUAUUAUUGGAUAAACGACUACUCGUAUUCCAAAAAUAUUCUCAAGAGAGACUCUUAUGAGUGUAGUAUCGCGUAACAAUCAAAUCAAAUCUUACACUUGAACGACCUUCACACUACGUCCUAAAAUAGGCCAAGAUGGGCAAGGUAAUCUAAGGUCCUUGGCUUCUAAGGCAUAUAUUGGAAAGAGUAAUGCCUAACCACGACUACUCGUGUGACAUUAUUGAUCCCAACAUAACCUCCACCAAGUGAAUAGGCUUGCAAGUCAACUUGCUAAGGAAUAACUCCACACAAGUCAACAAGACUAUGCCAUUCUCCUAUCAUAAGUGCACUCGAGUUCGGGUAUAGAACUCAUGUCACAAGAGACCACCAAGCACAAAAGCAAUUGAUAUAUAUCAAGCAAUUCAUACAUUACAAACAAUACAAUCAUCCCAAAUUUGCACAAAAACAUGUCACAAAUAAUAUAAACAUACAAUACAAUAAAGGCAAAAAGUAAGCUAAACCCACUAAGAAGAAAGUAGCUGAUCCCCAGCAGAGUCACCACUUUUCUGUAGCGGGGUAUUCGUUAUCUUUAGAUUUAUUGACUAAAUCAAAAGUAAAUCAUACAAUUCGAGUCGCCAUCGCACUUCUAUUUAUCCAAAGGAAAGGUUAGAAAGCGAACAAAAACUGAAAAGUUUUAUCAAAUCAAAAACUAAUAAAAAUGUCAGAGAUCUGGGCAAGGGGUUGGUUAUGCAAUGGGAAGGUUUUAAGCACCCAAAACAUCCUUAGUACUCUAAGGGAGCCCUUUUUACAAAUUUUGUAUGGUAGGUUGGUAUUUGUGAAAAAUAUUUGUGCAAACAUGAUUGGGGAGAUGAGAAAAGAAUAUACAAUAUUUACAAUUUUGUUGUUUGAAUGGAUGAACCCAUUGCCUACGUACCAUCACAAAGGUAGGAUCAAAACCUCGUAGUUACGGUGCAUCCAAAUUCAAAUAAGUUGGUGAUUGAUUCGCGCGUAACACAAGCAUCACACGCUCUCUUUGUUAUCAAAGGGAGAAAACUCAACCUAAACCAACAAUCCACCAUGUGAGGAGAGCUUCAACAUACUAGUGAGGGAUCCACCCUAUAAUAAGUAUGGGAGACUUAUAGUCCAAUCACUAAGGAUGAGGUGAGGUUUACAUCAACCACUAUGAUAACUCAAACCUAAUAGCUAAUGUUUAUGAAAAGCUUUUAACAAAAGGUGGCCAUUGGAACCACGAAAGAAUUUGAAGUGAGCUGGGAUUUACCAGUUAGGAGUAUUCACAAAAUAAAGUCAAAGUUGACUUAAGGUUCAAUUCAAAAUAAGUGUUAUGAAAAGGAUUUGAAAAAAAUCAAAGGCAUAGUGCCUAGGUUUCUAAUUUUUGAAAACAAUGUCAAUGUUUGCACAAAAUAAGUUUGGCUUGGGUUAGAGUGGAGAGAAGAAGAGAAGGGCUAGGUCCAAAACAUGCAAAGAUGAGAGAGGAGAAAUAAAACCCUUGGAGUUCCUUUCUUGAGAUCAUAAAGAUGAUCCAAGUUGCUCCCUUUUCUUUGGACUUAGCAAGCAAUAAGCAAUUAACUCAAGCAAUCAAGCAAAUACUCAAUCAAGCUCCUAGGAUCUUCCAAUUUGGACUAGUCUCUCUCUUAAUUUGGAUGCUCAUGACAAUGGUCCUUCUAAAUAGCUCAAGUUUUGGUAUCCCUAUCACAAGAACACACAAAUCAAAAAGUUCCACAAUGCAAUAAAAGAAAUGGACAAGAGUGAGUUUAGAAUAGGGGUCAUUUCAAUUCAUCUUUCAAGAUUAAGCAUUUUUUGGCAUUUUUUGAACAAUUAAAAAUGGAGAAAAAUAACAUAAUUGGACAAAAAUCUCAAAUAAAUCUCAAAUCAAUUAAGAAAUUGAUGAGAAUAUUUUUCAUAGAUUCAUCAUCAUCCAAAGAUGUUAAGAAAAUAUUUUGGUAUUUUUUGAAUAUCAAAAAGAAUUUUAAAUGAAUUAAACACAAUCAGAAAUGAAAUAUUUCACAAGAAAUAUUAAAUGGAAUCACAAAAAUAAUUAAAAAUCAUUUUUAGAAACUAGAAUUUAAGAGAAUUUUUUUGCAAUUGGUCCCAUAUUUUUGUGAUUCCAAAUAAAGAAGUUAUGAAUUUUUGAAAUAAAAUGGAAUAAAAGAAAUUAAAACAGAAAUUAAUAAAAGAGAAAAAUCCUGAGGCGUCAGAUCAUAGCUCAUUAAUUGACGUGGCUCAUCAGACAGCAAGGAAGCGCGCGCGUAUAGUGAGUGUUAGUCAACAGCGUGGCAUCAUGCAUUAAAAUAAGUCAUAUCAUUUAACAGCCAAGAUUAGAUCUGGAGAUCAUCAUCCAAGGGCCAAUGUUUGGAUGCGUGGGGACGGUGGUGGAAACUACCGUUUUCUCCGGUGAGAAGGCCUUCUCCAGCCACCAGUUGCAGGUUUUGAAACCUCAACUAAAAUACUCGAUCCAUGUACCAUUCGAAAGCUGGGGUGAUGUACAUCACCCCUGUGACCUUAGUUUUCACUCAAGAUCCCUAUAGAGGGAGAAAUCUGAGCUUGAAAAAUGAGGUGUUCGAUCUGAACUUAACCAAUUCUCAAAAUUAAAACCAUAAAUCAAUUGCCUCUCACAUGAUGACUUCAAAGAUGCCAACCAAACCAAGCAAUGCACAAUAAUAAGAGAGAUUUGAAUCAAAAUAGUUGAGAUAAACCUUUGAAGUGCAUCUUUUAAGAGCUUGAUCCAAUCCAAUCCUUGAGUGCAGCUUGAUCUUGAAGUAACAAUGAAGCAAGGCUAAGGAAUUAGAAGCCAAAGAUCAACCAAGGAAGUUGAAAUUUUAGCUUGAAAAGUGAAGAGAAAAUUCAGAAUUCCUUGGAGUGAGAGGUUAGGGAAUCAGUUCAGUAGAGCUUCAGGCGCCUUUAGGUAGAGAAAUGAGCAAGGCAAGGCAUUCUAUUUAUAGUCACAGCUGAUGCAAGCAAGUAGAAAACUCGUGUGUGCAUGAACUUGGGUCCUCCAUGCAUGGGCCUGUACAGGCGCAUGUGAGGCCCAAAACCACUUGCAAAUGAAUGUUGAACAAUAAUGAAUGAAGUUUGGACGUGCAGAUGGCAAUGCAUUAGCUUGUGCAUGGAAAUUUAACAUGAUAUGCAUAAAUUAUCAUAAAACUUCACCUCUUCGAAAAUGCCAAUUGGAAAAUCCAAACAUAAGCAUGUGAGUAAUGGUUGGAAAGGUCUUGACAUAAGGAACAAAUGUUAUGUUGAACAAAAGUCCAUUUGGAGUUUGGAAAAUAUUGAAAAUUGGCCAUGAAGUUCAAGGUACAAAACAUGUAUUUGAAUUUUUUUCCAAAAUGGAUCAACUUCAAGCCCUUAUGUUUCAGUGAUGCAAGCCUCAAGUGGAAAUAACUUAAACAUAAAAGUUGUAGAUCUUUUCAUGAAAAUCAAUUUAGACUUAAAUUUUAUAUCAUUUGGAUUUUUAAUGAGAAUGUUAUGGGCACUUGAAGUUGGACUUUUUCAAGAUUCAAUGGCUUUGGUCCCAAGUGACCUAUAAUGUUUUGUAAUAUCACAUGUGUUUCUUUUAGGAUUAUGAAAUUUUUUCCAACAUAACAUUUGAGGUAGACAUAUUAAAAUUUCCAAUUCACUUGGUCUCGCCUCAAAAUCAUAAAAAAUGGAGGAGGUAGGUCCUUGGGAAGUUAACCCAAGAUUAGGGUUUCAAUCAAAAUGACCUAUAAUGUUUUGAAAUGAAUGAUGACCUUCCAAGUUUCAAAUGAAAUUUUUGAUGAACAUGAAAGUUGUUCAUAUGUUUCUUAAGAACAUUUUUCCUCUUGGGGUCAUCAUCAUUUGACAAACAGAUCAAAAGUUAGGUCUAAGUGGAUUUCAAAAUAGUCAGAUGAAUUGGCUGAUCAACUUCUCAAGUCCAAACUUCAAAUCUUGAUGAAUGGAUGAUUGAGGACACUCACAUAGUCUCAUAUAUUCAUAAAAUUAUGAAUGAAAUAACUUGCCUUGAUUGUAUUUGAUCAUAGGUUGAGGUUGCUUCAUGAGUAAGGCACAAUCAAUGCAUAGUUGAAUUAGGGUUUCCUUCAAAGACAAUCCUCAAACCCUUUGGUUUAUCUUGAUCAAAUUGACAAAUUGAGAUACUUUGGAGUCAUAUUUGAGGAUUGAGAGAUUUGGGAACCAUUGUCAUGCUUUCUUUCAUCUUCAUUGAGCCAUUUCUUUGAGCAUAGGGGCCUCCUAGGAGCCUUGGAUCACAUGACUGCUUAAGCUUCAAAACAAAAGAUGUUAGUGACAUAUUUUUGUGUUUUUGGUUAGUAAACAAAAUAAGAAAAGCAAUGAUAUACAAUUCAAACAUGCUUGGUGGUCUCAAACCAUUCACACAAGUCCCAACCCAAGGGUUAAGGAGCCAAGAUGCUAUGAUCCUUGAGGCAGUGCAAAUGAUCAAAUGAUAGGAUGCCAUGAGGGAUCUUAGGGUCAAAAUUAGGGUCUUACACUAUUGAGGAAACCAAUAAAAACAUUAAGAAAAUUAUGCAAAAGAUGGUAGAAACCUACAAAGAUUGGAAUGGGAUUCUCCUGUUUGCAUUGCACGACUAUUGUACUUCAGUAUGCACCUCCAUUGGGGCAACCCCAUUAUCUCUUGUGUAUGGCAUGGAUGCAGUUCUACCAAUUGAAGUAGAGUUUCCCUCCUUGAGAAUUCUGACCAACGUCAAGCUCGACGAAGCUGAGUGGGUGCAAGCCAGAUUUGACAAGCUGAACCUCAUUGAUGAAAAACGCUUGGCAUCCAUCUGCUAUGGUCAGCUAUACCAAAAGCAUAUCAAGAGGGCACAUGACAAGAAGGUCUUUCCCCGAAGCCUCAAGGCCAGAGACCUAGUAUUGAGAAAGAUUUUUCCUAUUCAUACUAGUCUAAGGGGAAAAUGGACGUCGAACUACAAAGGCCCAUACGCUGUAAGAAAGGUCUUCUCUGGAGGAGCAUUAAUACUUUCAACCGUGUAUGGCCAAGAUAUUCCAACCCCUGUGAAUGAGGACGCAUUCAAAAAAUACUACGCCUAAAAAAAAGAGCCUGAUAAGUUGAAAAUGUGAAAGGGAAGCUUAUUCAAAAAUGGGUAUUCUGGUAGACUGAAAAACUAAAAGGGUGGUCUAGGCAAAUAUUAUGGAUUCAUAAAACCGAGAGGUUGCAGUCCGUAAAGAAUCAUUCACACUUCCCUGAUGAUUCAAUCUAAUUGCUUUCUUCCAAAGAAAGAUCUGAGGACCUUCAAAGACAUAAGGACUAUAACAGAAUCAAAACUUGGUGGAAAUCCAAGCUAUUUCCAUUGCCAUUAUAGUUUUUCAAUUUCUUUUCGCAAUCACCUCUUUUAGGAAUUGCUUCCUUGUAUAACUUACCCAUUUUUUGGAUCAUUCAUUUAUCAAUAAAAUAAUUUCCACCAAAUGUGCCCAAUACUGGUAUAUUUGUUGCUUUAUUUGCGAAGUGUGAUUUUCUCUAAUUAACAUUGCAUUGAAAAUUUUGGGUAAAUAACUUUUACUAAAAGACAACUUUCAAAGGAAAACACCGAAGUUACUUUUCUUUUGAAGUAUCUAAGGAUAAUCAUAGUCCAACAUGCUUGGUAUACGCAAACACCACAAAGCCACACAGUCCCAUGGACUUGACCCAAUCGAGAAAUCCCCGGCAAGCAGCCAACAGAAAUUGCACCAGACACAACUUGGACAUCAAAAUUCAAUGUCGGGAAGUUGGUUCCACUCUCCCCAAGAAAACUCAAAGCCCAAUCAUCAUUGACACUUCUAGUAAAUUAUCCCCCGCAAAGCCCAAUCAUACUUGGCACAAUUUAUAAGCCUUGCAUUUGCAUAUUCCCCACCAGCCCGAACAUGCAUCAGCAUUUCGCAUACAUAACAUUGCAUCGUGAGUAUACUCUUUAAUCUUGCUCGAGAAUAAUUCCUCAUUUCUCCCCAACCGUUGCUAGGGAUGUUCAUUACAAAAUUCAAAUAUUCCUUCCCGACCAUUGUUAGGGAUUGUAUUCAUUAACUUCUGACCUUCCCAACCUACUAGAAUUGUCUCUCUCAAAUUUCAUAACUUCCUAGUAGUUGCUAGGUAUUUUCUCGAGUAGAGUCAGGUAUUCCAAUCAUUGCUAGGAAUCGUCAUUGAACUAUUCCCCCUCCGUAGAUGAUAGCAUUAUAGUCAGUUUUAGCUAGGAUAGUCUCACUUCAAAUAUCCUGCUGUGAGUCAUGUAUUUCACAAGCCAUUUUUUAGAAUCAUCAUCUUGAACUUCUAUUUGUAUUAGCUUGUGCCUGUCAAAGUCAAGGUAUUCUAUCACCUUAUUAUGAUUUCAACGACUCUUUAUUUCCGAUCCAGAUGAGUGGGGUAUUUCCAUCAGUUUCUAGAAUAUUCGUUGAUACUUCUUUUUUCCUCUAUUCGGUAUCGAGUUUUUGUGGUAUCAUUUACUACAGCCAAUAGGAAUAUAGAGUUUGAUUUGGGCGUCUAUUUUUUUUAGUCCUUCCUUUUAUGUCGCAACCGAAAAUAAGCCACAUUGCACACCAAACACAACCGGCGAGAGAACAUGACAGAAGAGUCGCCACCGUGCGUUAUUAUUAAUCUCCACAGAAGUUGUAUAGGUAAACGCUAUUCUCGAUAUAGUAUACCUGGAGGAAAGUGAAAUAAGGUAUGAAAGACAAUCAUGGUAGCUUCGCAAUCAUAAAUCUUUGGUCGUUCGGGAGUCGAUUAUGUGAAGGGAAUAUGGUUAUUUGAACGCCCUACGCAUCCGUAUCUAUCUCUAUCAGGGAUUCAAUCUGUUUGAUGUAUUCUUUUGUAUAUUUCCCUAACACGCUGGUGUAUGUCGUAUUCUGUGCUAUAUUUACUACACGAGGUCAGAGUAGAAAAAUUAGACUCCGCUGAUAAUCGCAUCACUGCAUACCGUUAUCAGUCAUCUUGAGUUAUCGAGAAUCAGUUAAGUCUUCCGUAGCUUGUGGUAAGGUCACUUAAGAGGUUAAGGAUAGUGCUGUGCUCGCUAGCGCAUGCUGUCUUUUGGCCUACGGUAUCUCAUCGCUAUUGGUAGGAAUCAGCAGACUCAAAGCGAGAUUUCAAACUAAUUACAGGAGCAAAGUAAGGUCUCCUGAAUUGACUAGGGACAAGAGAAAGGAUCUGUCUCGAUCGCACAACUGUUGGGCGAGAGAAAGUAGAUUCGCAUACUAAGAGGUGACGAAGCACAAUCAAGAAUUUAUUUGUUAUGUCGUUAGUCACAACGUCGCAAGCGUACCGCAUCUUGUGCCUACGUAUUCAUAGCUAGAACUGAGAAAUCAGCAGUCUGCCUAUAGUUCGGCUACAUAGGGAGUUGCCAUCCAUCGAAGACAUGGAACGUUACAAAGGAUGGACACCUAGUUGUGUCGCAAGGAGCCAGCGGGCCCGUAUGCUGUUCAGCUCCUUACAGUACCCGCAGGUUUGUCCCGUCCGAGGCUCGCUAAUGCGAGUCUUCUAGGCGGUUAUCCUACUUUCGUCAAUUAGAACGGAUAUUCUAUCAAUGCCGCUAACAGAAAUCGGAGGUACGCUUGCAAGGCUAGUAGUGGUGCAGAAGCUUCUGCCUUACUGAGUAUAUCCAAUGCAAUGUCGUACUUAGUUUUUCAGAAGGAUGUUUGAAAGGGUGAAGAUAUCUAGCCGAUGGUUGUAUGCAUGAGUAUAUGGUAGAUCGAUUCUAAGGGCUAUGUUAUCAUACAAAAGAUGAAUGGGUAAUCCUAAGUGUGGGUGUCUCACCUAAUCGGAACAAGACUCGACGAUGUGUUAAGCAAGGUGAACUGUUAGGGUAUAAGCGUAUAGAUGACGAUGCAUGAAUGCAAUUCAUAACUUAUCAAGAGCUGGAUAGGCGAUGCUAAAGAAUCGACGCUAUCAUAGUUUAGAUGGCGAUGCAUAACGCCAUCGUUACAAAAGGGUGGCAUGAAUACGUGCUGGUUCUAGUUAGGUUUGAAAAUGAAUUAUCGUCGUUCUUGGACGAGGUUUUGGUCUGUUUUGAAAUGUUAUGGGUGUUCAUUUUAUUUACUUGUAUUGUACAGUCUUAUGAAUAAGAAUGAAAGAAUAUAUAAUAUUCUAUGGUGAGAUGGGAUAUCACUUUGUUUAUGAAUGGUGAGUUGUUUGUCUGACAAUUCAAACAAUAUAAUAGUGCCUCUAAUAUCUAACAUGUAGGUUAACAGUUAUCAACACAAUGUAAGAUAUAAACAAGUAUUAUCCCAAUUAAAUAAUCAAGAUAUGAAAUAUUUAUGAAAACAUAAACAAUGCUACGAUUGUAAGGUUGCAAGGGCCGGCUCAUUUUUAGAAUAGUUCCCAAGGAAUGUAUGGAGUUAGUUAUAAUCGGCUGAUGCUUAUAAGCAUUCGUGGGGGUGGGAUUACAAGUAGGUGUAAAAAAUGGGAUCGAUAUUAAUCGAUAGAAGUAUGAUUUUUUGUAGUUUGUAAGAUGGUUUUUGAAUCUAAUUCUAAUCGAUAACUCUGCAUUAUUACAAUGAAAUUUAUAACACUUUAAAAAAAGAUAUUAACAAAAUACCAAAAGAAUAAAAAAUGCUAAAGGAAAAUAAAAUCAAAUAAAAAGCAAAAAGUACCACACAUGAGUAUUGAACCCUCCCCACCUAAUAUUAUGCAACUGCUCUCUCUCCACUAGGCCACUCAACACUAUCUGCUAUUGAGGUACUACGAUAAAUAUAUGAACUGGGCUAACAAAUUUAAAAUAAAUAAAAAAACAAAACAAACAUUUUUAUGUUUUUAUUAUCUCUGUUAAAAAGCAAGUUAAGUUAAAUAAAACAAAAAGAAUUAAUUAAAAAAGGAAAACAGAAAAAAAAGAAAAAAAUGGAAACGGGGAAGAGAACACAGAGGUUCGUCUUCCCCAUCGGCCUCGCCUUCCUCAACCUUUGCUCACCUCUCGCAACCUCUCAUUCGCUCGCAGAAUCGCUAUCCCUCCACCUUACCCAACCGUCUCUCAAACACGUCCAACCCUCUCUCUCUCAAACUUGCUCAAACAAAAAAAAUCUCCCUCUGCUCUCAAAAUCGCUCGCAUCUAUCUCUCAAACCUCUCUCUCAUCACGACCUCACCGAAUCCCUCUCAAACAAACAAGAAAAACAAAGACUGUUACAAAACAGGAAGCUCACCCUCGGACCUUUGAUGAAGAUGACAACUCAGGUGACGAUCGAACCUUUCUUUCGCCUCUUCAAGUGUUGGUUUGUUCUUCCUUUAGGAUUAGGUUUUCUCUUCUUUGAAAUCUCUUCGCCUCUGCCUC
rnacentral:lncRNA from 1 species